GAGGGUGUGACUUAGUGGUAGAGAACAUACUUAGCAUGUGGGAGGCCCUGGGUUCAAUUCCCAGCACCAAAA
rnacentral:tRNA from 1 species